GAUGAACGCUGGCGGCGUGCCUAAUACAUGCAAGUCGAGCGAACAGAUGAUGAGCUUGCUCCUCUGACGUUAGCGGCGGGCGGGUGAGUAACACGUGGAUAACCUACCUAUAAUACGGGUAUAACUUCGGAAAUGCGGAGCUAAUAGGGGAGAAGAUAUUGAACCACAUGGGUGAAUGGUGAAAGUCGGUGUUGCGGUCACGUCUAGAUGGAUCCCGGCCGGAUUAGCUAGUUGGUAAGUUAACGGGUUACCAAGGCAACUAUGCGUAGGCGAACUGAGAGGGUGAUAGGCCACCUUGGAACUGAACCACGGUCAAGGGUACUAAGGGAGGCAGCAGUAGGGAAUCUGCCGCAAAGGGCGAAAGCCUGACGGAGUAACGGCGAGUGUGUGAUGACGGUCUUCGGAUCGUAAAAAUCUGUUAUUAGGGAAGAACAAAUGUGUCAGUAACUAUGCACGUCUUGACGGUAACUAAUCAGAAAGCCACGGCUAACUACGUG
rnacentral:rRNA from 1 species